UACGUAGGGUGCGAGCGUUGUCCGGAAUUAUUGGGCGUAAAGGGCUCGUAGGCGGUUUGUCGCGUCGGGAGUGAAAACCAGGUGCUUAACACCUGGCUUGCUUUCGAUACGGGCAGACUAGAGGUAUGCAGGGGAGAACGGAAUUCCUGGUGUAGCGGUGAAAUGCGCAGAUAUCAGGAGGAACACCGGUGGCGAAGGCGGUUCUCUGGGCAUGACCUGACGCUGAGGAGCGAAAGUGUGGGGAGCGAACAGGG
rnacentral:rRNA from 1 species